ACGGAGGGAGCUAGCGUUGUUCGGAAUUACUGGGCGUAAAGCGCACGUAGGCGGCUUUGUAAGUCAGAGGUGAAAGCCUGGAGCUCAACUCCAGAAUUGCCUUUGAUACUGCAACGCUAGAGUAUGGGAGAGGUAAGUGGAAUUCCGAGUGUAGCGGUGAAAUUCGUAGAUAUUCGGAGGAACACCAGUGGCGAAGGCGGCUCCCUGGACUAAUAUUGACGCUGAGGUGCGAAAGCGUGGGGAGCAAACAG
rnacentral:rRNA from 1 species